rnacentral:tRNA from 1 species
GGAUGUAGCUCAGGGGUAGAGUACUUGCCUAGCAUGUGCAGGGCCCCCUGGGUUGAAUUCCCAGCACCA